GACGAACGCUGGCGGGGUGCUUAACACAUGCAAGUCGAACGGAAAGGCCCUGCUUUUGUGGGGUGCUCGAGUGGCGAACGGGUGAGUAACAAGUGAGUAACCUGCCCUUGACUUUGGGAUAACUUCAGGAAACUGGGGCUAAUACCGGAUAGGAGCUCCUGCUGCAUGGUGGGGGUUGGAAAGUUUCGGCGGUUGGGGAUGGACUCGCGGCUUAUCAGCUUGUUGGUGGGGUAGUGGCUUACCAAGGCUUUGACGGGUAGCCGGCCUGAGAGGGUGACCGGCCACAUUGGGACUGAGAUACGGCCCAGACUCCUACGGGAGGCAGCAGUGGGGAAUAUUGCACAAUGGGCGGAAGCCUGAUGCAGCAACGCCGCGUGCGGGAUGACGGCCUUCGGGUUGUAAACCGCUUUCGCCUGUGACGAAGCGUGAGUGACGGUAAUGGGUAAAGAAGCACCGGCUAACUACGUG
rnacentral:rRNA from 1 species